rnacentral:rRNA from 1 species
UACAGAGGCCUCAAGCGUUGUUCGGAAUUACUGGGCGUAAAGGGAAUGUAGGUGGUCAGGUAAGUCAGAUGUGAAAGCCCUGGGCUUAACCCGGGAAGUGCAUUUGAUACUGCUUGGCUAGAGUGCGGAAGAGGAAAGUGGAAUUCCAGGUGUAGGGGUGAAAUCCGUAGAUAUCUGGAGGAAUACCGAUGGCGAAGGCAGCUUUCUGGUCCGUAACUGACACUGAGAUUCGAAAGCGUGGGUAGCAAACAGG